rnacentral:rRNA from 1 species
CAAGUCGCUCGGGCGUAGCAAUACGUCAGUGGCGAACGGGUGAGUAAUGAAUCGCUAAUGUACCCCGGACUCUGGGAUAGCUGCCCGAAAGGGCAGGUAAUACCUGAUGACAUACCCGCCAGGCAUCUGGUGGGUCUCAAAGGUCCGCCGGUCCGGGCGCAGGCGAUUUCGUAUCAGCUAGUUGGUGCGGGUAACGGCCCACCAAGGCGACGACGCGUAGCCGGACUGAGAGGUUGGUCGGCCACAUCGGGACUGAGACACUGCCCGGACUCCUACGGGGGGCUGCAGUAACGAAUCUUCCCCAAUGCACGCAAGUGUGAGGGAGCGACGCCGCGUGUGGGACGAAGUCCUUCGGGAUGUAAACCACUGUCAGGGGAUACCAAGUUCUGAGGAUCCCCAGAGGAAGAGGCGGCUAACUCUGUGCCAGCAGCCGCGGUAAGACAGAGGCCUCGAGCGUUAGGCGGAAUCACUGGGCUUAAAGCGUGUGUAGGCGGAAGAGUAAGUACCUUGUGAAAUCCCACGGCUCACCCGUGGAACCGCUGGGUAUACUGCUCUUCUUGGGCCACUCAGGGGCGACUGGAACAAGCGGUGGAGCGGUGAAAUGCGUAGAUAUCGCUUGGAACGCCAAAGGUGAAAACAGGUCGCUGGGAGUGCGCCGACGCUGAGACACGAAAGCCAGGGGAGCAAACGGGAUUAGAUACCCCGGUAGUCCUGGCCCUAAACGAUGUCCACUAGAUCGCGGCCCCUUGACGGGGUCGCGGUCGGAGCAAAAGUGUUAAGUGGACCGCCUGGGAAGUACGGUCGCAAGGCUAAAACUCAAAGGAAUUGACGGGGGCUCACACAAGCGGUGGAGCAUGUGGUUCAAUUCGAAGCACCGCGCAAAACCUUACCUGGGCUUGACAUGCU